AAAUGGCCGCAGUAUUUUAACUGUGCAAAGGUAGCAUAAUCAUUAGUCUUUUAAUUGAAGGCUUGUAUGAAUGGUUGGAUGAAAUAUUAACUGUUUCACAAAAAUUGAUUUAGAAUUUUAUUUUUUAGUUAAAAAGCUAAAAUGUUUUUAAAAGACGAGAAGACCCUAUAGAUCUUUAUAUUUUAUAUAUUAUAAUUAUUUAGAUUAUUUAAUUUAUGAUUAUAUAAAGUAUUUUGUUGGGGUGACAUUAAAAUUUAAUUAACUUUUAAUUAAUAAUUUACAUUUAUUUAUGAUUAGUUGAUCCAUUAAUAAUGAUUAGAAAAUUAAGUUACCUUAGGGAUAACAGCGUAAUUUUUUUGAAGAGUUCAUAUCGAUAAAAAAGAUUGCGACCUCGAUGUUGGAUUAAGAUAUAAUUUUGGGUGCAGCAAUUCAUUAAUUAAGUC
rnacentral:rRNA from 1 species